CCUCCAGCAGUCGCCCCAUCUAUCUCCUUUCCCCACCACCCUGGCUACAUGAUCUUUUCCGAAAUGUUAACGGUUGUCUUCCCUUGGUCGUUUUCUACAUUACCUUUAGUCUGGUAUUUUUAUUGGAAUGUGUUUUAAAACACAGUGUACUAAUAGAAAAACAUGAGGUUCAGUAAAGCCAACAAACAGAUCUGGAGACAAUUGCCAUUGAAAAGAUGGUUCUUACAGUUCCUGAGAGGAGAGUACACCCACGGAGGGCCAGGGGAGCGAACACCGUUGGCGUCAGGCAGAGAGAAAGUGGGCUGAGGCCCUGUUGUGGUUAGCGUGGGAAGAGACAGGAGAGGAAAGGUAAACAAGUUUAGGAUUGGCUAGUUUGAAUAAUUCCCCUGGGCUCGGUUGUAGGGGCUGCCCCUGGUUGUAUGGUGCGUGGCCUCGGAGUGAUUAGGGCUUAGGGUGGGGUGACAGUGGCCUGGAAUGUCCGGAGUGGGCGGUUGGGAUUCUGGGCUGGUUAGUUUGCAUAUAAAAGGAGAGUUGUUUGCUGUCUCUAAGAUUAGCUAACACGAGAGGGGCGGGGCUUCCAGAGUCUGCACUGUGUCCUAUCAGAGCAUUGGCAUUACGGAAAACAAAAAGACACCCUUAUACACAAUGGCUUUAAAUGGAUAGUUAUUAAAUAUUAAAUGAAUAUUUGGAAAGUUGGAUCUUAAAAUACUGAUUGCUUUUAUUCAAGUACAAGGUAUCUGAAUUUUUUAAAGUGAUUUUUCUGUGCCUCGGUGGAGUUUCUGUAAUAUUGGCUCAAUGAAAUUUUUGUUAAAUAUGUUUUAAAUGCUAAUCUGUUCUGUUGCUAAUGGAAGUAAAUUAUUCUACUAUUUUACAUGUAGGUAUUAUUUGCAUAUUUUAUAUAUUAAUUCCAUACCUUAAUGAAUUAUUCAAACCAAUUCUUUCUCCUACCUAGAGGCAUUGGCCAGGACUUCCAGAACAAUGCUAAAUGGGACUUGUGAGUACAGGGUGCGUGCCAUUUGCUUCUAGAUGCUUUACCAUCGGCAUCUCAUUUAUCUGUGUCCUUCCUUCUGGGGAGCAAGAGAUGAGGAGAAAAUCUGACAAGAAGUUUCGGAGGCUGCAGGGUGUGACCGUCUUCCCAAAGGGCACAAUAAGAUGGUAGAAGGCUGCCUACCAUUUCCGAGUGGCACUUGUGCCAAGAAAAGGUGACUUCUUGGUGAAUGAAUUAUGGCUAGUUGCUGUGCUAGUUAAUUAUUUGUUGCCUAGACUGUCUUUCUUCUUGGUACUGAGGCCAAUGAUGAAGGCAAACAUAUUGAGAAAUCUGUUCCUCUGCGGACCCUGAAAAUAGAGAUUCACUUGAUAUGAGUCCCAAGAAGCAAUUUAUCCUCUGAGACAGACUCCCCAUUGUCAACCCAGGGCCAAAUUUUAUAAACAAUAAGGAUCCAGCAGCUAUUUGCUGACAGGGGUUCCUUGGGUAUUGUGUAUACCAGGAAGAACCUCAGUCUCAAGUCUUGGCUUCCCACAAAUGCCCAUCUGAGUCAACCACUGCAGGGAAGCCCUAGUUUUGUCUUUUGACCAAUGUACUGGGACCUGCCGUGUCCAAUCAGAACGAUACAAUUAUAUUCUCAUUUGCAUCUUUACCAACCAAUCAGAACUGCUCUAUAACGACCACUCAAAACUGCAUGAUUCAGACCAAUCAGAACUGUUAGAAUUUGGAACCGUCAUUUGCAUAGAGGUGGGCCAAUCAGGAAUGUGUUGGGGGGUGGCAUCGGGAACUUUCCCUAUGAAUGGCAAUCUCCCCUUUGUCUCAGUGCAAUGCAUUUUCGGUUUCCACAGGAGGCUGGCUGCCUUUGGGACUGUUUCACCUGAAUGAAGUCUCUCCUUUUCUGUACCUCUUUGGAAAUGUUGGUUUACACACCGUAGUCUUCAUCUUCAAAAUCGCAGACCAAGCUCCCCUAGGUUAGCCUCACCCAUCUACUUCCUGAGGACACAUCCAGUUACCUUCGGUAACUGUAUAUAAGGAAACAGGCGGCUCAAGGUCAGCCCAGUGCCAAAGUCUUCCCUGAAAGAGUGAGAAUGGCCAAGCUCCCUUCCCUGGAGAUGGAACUGCAGGCUUAAUGUUUGGGUGAGUCUGAUUAGUCUCAUCAGACUUAUUAGUUCUCCGGGUUCUCUGGCCAUCUCUGCUUUGCAUCUGGGGCUCCGUCAGUUCCAGCUCUGAUUUAACUUGAGCUGCCAGGGCACAGGGAGCUGUGAGGAGGGGCUUUCCCAGGGCUUCUCAGCUGCCCAGUCUUGUCUCCUUCCUGCUGCCGCAGCUGCCAGCAGAGGGUGGCCAGGACUUCAGAGUAACAGAAUCAUGGCUAAUUCUGGACCAGAAAGACCAGGCUCAGAGUGCCGCUCUCUGCCAAGACCAGCCCAGCACCGUCUGCCCACUCCUCUCAAUGUGUCGGCAGGGGCUGUUUGGACCUCAGACAUGCAGGAAAGACGUCUGUCUUCUUCUUUUCCUUCUUCUUAAUUCCUAAGGUUGCCAAGAAUUUGAUUUUAUUUUUAAAAAGACUUUUAUUUUUAAAUGACAAAUUAAGUAAUGCUCAUUGUAGGAAUUUCCAAUAAUGCAAAUGUGUAUAGGGUUGCAAAGAAAAGCUUCCGCCUCUCAUUGCUUGUAUUUCCCUUCCCAGAGGUGUGCUCUCUGUCAUUCUAGAUCCUCCUCUGUGCACGCAUGAAUCAUGGAGAAACAGAUCUGCCUGUUUGUUUAUGUGUUUGAUUAGAUGACUGCAAAUUUGCAAUUUCACUCAACAGUAUUUCAUGGAUGACCUUCCAUGUCAGUGCAAGAAUGUGAAGGAUCUUUUCCUUAUUUUUUUUAAAGUCAAGUUUAUUUAGGAAAAACUUACAUAAAAUAAAACUCACCCUUGUUAAGAGCAUAGUUUGGUGAGUUUUGACUUAGUAGACAACCACUCCAAUCAAGAUAAAGAAUAGCCCUGACCAGCAUGGCUCAGUGGGUUGGGCGUUGUUCUGCAAAGGGGAAGGUUGCUGGUUUGAUUC